AGAAGGAGUUGCUGAGAAGGAGCUGUGGUUCUGACCUUCAGGGGAAUUCCCACGUCUGUAUGGUGGCUCGUGAAGAGCAUGGUUCCUUUUCUCAGCCCUCUUGAGGGGCGAGGAUGCUGAGGACUGAAGUCGGUGGGGCUUGAUGCAUGUGGUGUGUGGAUGGUGUGGGGAGGUGGGGAAGGAGGACUAACAUGAAUGGUGUGAGGUCUUUCAGAGGGGUCUUCCCAAGGUCACAUAGUUGACGGGGGGUGAGUACUCACACUCGUGCAAAGGUGGGGGAUAGGAAGGGAAACUGAGGCCAUUAGUAUUUGGCACCAUAGCUGGUCUCUGAGGCUUUCAAAUGUUCCCCCAGGAGGUUCAGCCUCUGUGGGGAGAAGCCAGGGGAACCCCAUGGCACAUCCCCAGCCCUGCCUGCUACCCGCCUCUGCCAUCUCCCCUUCCCCUGGGCUAUGAGGGGAGGUAAUGAGACCUGUGACUCAUACAGUGCUCUCCUUUUCCCUCCUAUCAGCUCAGACUAAGCAGAGAAGUGGGCAGAGCUCUUUCACCAGAGGUGGAGGGGCCUGUUGGGGAGGGGACCCACCAAAUCCUUGGGGGUGGUUCUCAGCUCCCCGGAGAUAGGGGAGAUGAGACCUCAGGAAGGCUCUGAUCAGGCGUCUUCUGUUCUCUUUCCUUUCUUGGGUGGGAAUGAUGCUUCCCACUUUUGUGGUCCACCUGCAGGCCGCCUUUCAUCCUUCUUCAAGUCACAGAGAGACAGAGAGGAGGGGACGAAGGACGAGCCAUGGGGUUUUGAAAGCAGGCACAGCAGCAGGGGUGCUGCCUCCAGGGGUCUGCUCUGCCAAGAGUUCCUGUCCCAGGGCCUGCUCUCUGUCAUGUGAUGCUAUACUACAGCCAGGCUGGAAUUUGGUGUCUUAUUGCUACAAAGAAUCAGCUUUGUCAAUCCUAAGGUCACUGAGAGGCUGCCAGAGGGCCAUUUUCAUGACCAGAGGGAUCUGUUCAACACCCUGUGGGUCCCAGCACCUAUCUCAGGAAGCAGGGUGCAUCUGUCCACCACCAAGUCUCAGGGUGGCUGGGUGAGCGCUCAUCAGUCCCAGACAGCAGGUUGGCACAAAACGACACUGCCCACAAAACCACAGGAAGAAGAGAAACUCCGACUGUCUUUCAGCACACAGAAGACACUGUACUGGACCCGGACAUUAGGCAGACACCCACGCCUGACUUUCAGGAGAAAAGAGAACAUGACUAACGGAUAUUCUUAGUAGAUGGUUUAUUAGAAAAGAGAACAUCUUCCAGCAUGUGUCCUGGGGUGAUGGGUGUGGGAAGCACUCAGUCCAUAGUCCUGGUCCCUGGCUUCCCCAAGCCCAGCACCAUGAAUGUACAGUGGAAAGCAGAGGGUGCAGCGUCUCAGAAAGAUGCUUCCACUCACAAGGAUUGGAGCUCACAAGUGAGCUCCAUAACCUGCAAACCAGAGAAACCUGAGACACUGCCCCUUGGCCAUUUUAUCAACGGAGACUUUAUUGUGAUUAUCCCGGCAGGGGGCCGAGCUCUCCUCUCUGCAACAGGAAAUGCUCUUUAGUGAAAAUGCAGCAUUUCUCCAAGGGUAACAAAGCUGAACGCCUGCUUAGCUUAUGAACCCUCAGUUGGCCUAGGUGGUGCAAAGACCCUGCUGUUACUGCUUUGAUCAUCAGUACUGUGGACUGUACCAGGAGAUCCCUGGGAAUGUGCUCUGGGCGGAAGCAGCUUUUAUCUUUGGCCCUCACCCAUGCUUUAUAUGGUGAGGUUGGGAAAAUGGCACAAGGCUUCUCCUGAACCUCAAAUCAACACCCUUGCCCCAUUUAGAUCCUAUCUGGCUGUUUCUUGCUAAUAUUACUGCAUCACUGCACCAUCUUUCCUAUUUCAGCAAAGUGGAGUCAUGUGUGGUUUAUGGGGUAGAUGGACCCCAAAACUGAUAAUAUGAAUCAAGCUAUGGUGUUUACUCCCUAGGAAAUGCACAAUUUUUCUGGAAACCUACAGAAGCUUCAAAUGCAUUCGCCAUGCAAAGCUAAGUCAGCAGAACAACCCGUUUGGCUUUGGAGGCUAGUUCAGUUCCGCGGACAGGGAGAAAGAUGAGGCAGACUGUGGUUUUUCAGUUCCUGGAGCUUACGGAGCUCCAAAGCUCCCUCUCUUCCCACCCUGGCUGCACUGUUCUUAAUUUUAGAUAAUACCCUGCCUUCUCGUAUUGCUGCUGAGCUCCUAGCAUCCUCAGUUUAUCUGUCUGUGAAAUGAAAAAUCUAAUGUUAAAUUUUUUACCUAUGGCAUGAGAGAGAUGGCUAUGGCUCUUGUGAGCCUCUCUGCAGCCCCUCUUUUCCUUCAAUCACCCUCUGUCUCUCCUGCCUUCUGCUUAUUCUCUCUCUCCCCUCAUCCCCACUUUCCCAGUGGGUCCUCUGUUCUCUUUUUUUUUUUCUUUUUAAAUCUCUCUAUGCCUCCAGCCGAGAAGAUAAAGAGUGUACAUCUUUCUGGUUAAAAAGUUUUGCUUUGCAGAAACACAGCCAAUUUAUGAUUCUGGCCUUCCCAGCUAGGGACAGUGUUCAUUUACAUUUAGGACCAUGAGGAGAGAGGCUUAGCUGUGUGUUUCUGAGGCCGGAGAAAAUUACAGUGAUAUAUAACAGUGCUGCACUCAUAGAGGUGCUGAGCCGGGGUUGGGCUCAGGCGGCCGCUAAGCUCAGAGUGGAAAGUUUCAGAGGGGAGGCAGAAAGGAGAGGUCUAUAGCUCCUCCAGAUUCUAGGUAUUAAUUUACUAAGAUAUUCCUAAGCCAGAAAACAGAGACAGAAGACAAAGAGAAAGAGGGAAGAAGAGCAAGACAGAGAGUUAGAGAGAGACAAAGAGAGAGAGUUAGAGACAAAGAGAGAGUGGAGAGGAGAGAGAGCAAAUAUUGAAAGGAAAAGGAAAAAGAAAGAAACCUGACAGCUCAUGAACUUUUUAAAAAGUUACAAAUUAGAUUUGAAGAGAUGGGCAGAGGUUUAAGAUUUCUUCAUUAGGCUGGGUGUGGUGGCUCAUGCCUGUAAUUGCAGCACUCUGGGAGGCUGAGGGUGGCAGAUCAUCUGAGGUCAGGAGUUCGACACCAGACAGGCCAACAUGGUGAAACCCUGUCUCUACUAAAAAUACAAAAAUUAGCCAGGCAUGGUGGCACGCGUCUGUAAUCCCAGCUACUCUAGAGGCUGAAGCAGGAGAAUCGCUUGAACCCAGGAGGCGGAGGUUGCAGUGAGCCAAGACUGUGCCAUUGCACUCCAGCCUGGGUGACAGAGUGAGACUCUGUCUCCAAAAAUAAAAAAUAAAAAAAAAAGGUUUUUUUAAAUUAUACUUUAUUUUUAGGGAUUUUUCUUUAUCUACCACUUGCUAAAAGGGCCCCAGCAGCAGGUGACUGGCAACAGAAGAAGGUUCCAGAAAAAUGAGAGUCACUUCACUGGGCCUUUGUCCUUGACCUGAAGGAUUUCUUGUACCUUGUGCACUUUUCUGGGGUGCAGGAUGGUUGAGAGGUGCAGUGGUCAAGGCACUUGAUGCUUGUCCUGGAGACUGAGGUUAUGGGUUGAUCUGUCUGGGUGCCACUCAGAAUCCUGAAACCUGGAUCUGCCACUUACAAGAUGUGUGUCUAAAUCAGGUUUCUUCUCUCUGAGCCUUGGUUUUCCCAUCUGGAACAUGGACAUACCAAUAUCUCACAAUGUUAUUAUAAGACUCACUCAUAUCAAUAUGCUAUUAAGUAACACAACUAGCAAUGGCAACUGCUCAUAACUCACAUGUAUUGAACAGUGCACUGGGUCCUCAUUUUACAUUUGUGAUCCCGGUGGGUCCUCACGUCUUCCCCACCAGGUGAGGACCACAAACAGCCUCACGUUUUAAAUGAUGCUUAGAAAAGCCAAGACAAAACUUAAUACUGCCAGAGUGACUCCAAAGCCUUUUCGCUUUAGCAACCAUAUAGGUGCCCAAAACAGUUUUGCUUCAUCUCCUUCUCCCACCUGUUGAUGUUUUUGUUUUCCAUUUCCAUAGACCUGUUCCCUGCAGAGGGAGCCCAGCCCUACAUGUGGGGAUGAGGGUGUCAAGAGUUCCCGCACCCAAGUCCUGACUCUCUCGGCCAAUAGUUGGCCGAGGAACCUUGGGUGAAGUCACUUCAUCUCUUUGAGGCCUCUGUUUCCUCUUCUCUAAAAUACAGAGGAUGUUGUGGGUCCUACCUGCUCAGAGAGCAUGUUUUGAGGACCCAGCGUAGGAGGGCAAUCUUAUUAGUCCAGGGAGAAGCCACAGCGAAGAGGAAGGGCAGGAUUCUCUUCCUCUCUCCCGGCCCUACCAGACUUGCCUUGACCUGUGCAUCCCGGGCACAUGAGGGAGAAUACAGGCCCAAGCCAGGUGUGACUACAUCCAGAUGUUAGUGGGGAAGGAAAAGAGACAAAAACCUGGAAUUUAUUCAGGUCUGGGACCUAGACCUCUGCUCCAUUGGGAAAGCAGUCAGAUUUUAGGAUAAAAGAGAGAGGCUUAGAGCUCAGUCACAUGGGGCUUCAAGUCCCCAUAGUGUGGCCUGGGGCAAGUCACUGUCAUUCUGGGCCUUAGUGUCCUCUUCUAUAAAAUGGGAAUAAAACUAGCGCUUACCUCCAAGUGUAGAUGUGGUAAAAUCAGGUUUAGAGAGUACCUGGCCCAGGCU
rnacentral:lncRNA from 1 species